GUUUCCCCACCUCUGGUGGAGGUUCUCUACUUAGCAGGGAAGGAGAGCUAAGAACUGAUGACAUCAAGAAGGUGGAGGUGUUUAAUGCCUAUUUUGUUUCAGUCUUCACUAACAGGAUUGAUGGUGAUCAGAUACUCAA